AUUGUAGUCUGCAACUCGACUACAUGAAGCUGGAAUCGCUAGUAAUCGCGGAUCAGAAUGCCGCGGUGAAUACGUUCCCGGGUCUUGUACACACCGCCCGUCACACCAUGGGAGUCAGUAACGCCCGAAGCCGGUGACCCAACCUAACCAGGAGGGAGCCGUCGAAGGCGGGACGGAUGACUGGGGUGAAGUCGUAACAAGGUAUC
rnacentral:rRNA from 1 species